ACAAGCGAGCGGCGGACGGGUGAGUAACACGUGGGUAACCUGCCCAAGAGACUGGGAUAACACCUGGAAACAGAUGCUAAUACCGGAUAACAACACUAGACGCAUGUCUAGAGUUUGAAAGAUGGUUCUGCUAUCACUCUUGGAUGGACCUGCGGUGCAUUAGCUAGUUGGUAAGGUAACGGCUUACCAAGGCAAUGAUGCAUAGCCGAGUUGAGAGACUGAUCGGCCACAUUGGGACUGAGACACGGCCCAAACUCCUACGGGAGGCAGCAGUAGGGAAUCUUCCACAAUGGACGAAAGUCUGAUGGAGCAACGCCGCGUGAGUGAAGAAGGGUUUCGGCUCGUAAAGCUCUGUUGGUAGUGAAGAAAGAUAGAGGUAGUAACUGGCCUUUAUUUGACGGUAAUUACUUAGAAAGUCACGGCUAACUACGUGCCAGCAGCCGCGGUAAUACGUAGGUGGCAAGCGUUGUCCGGAUUUAUUGGGCGUAAAGCGAGUGCAGGCGGUUCAAUAAGUCUGAUGUGAAAGCCUUCGGCUCAACCGGAGAAUUGCAUCAGAAACUGUUGAACUUGAGUGCAGAAGAGGAGAGUGGAACUCCAUGUGUAGCGGUGGAAUGCGUAGAUAUAUGGAAGAACACCAGUGGCGAAGGCGGCUCUCUGGUCUGCAAC
rnacentral:rRNA from 1 species